rnacentral:rRNA from 1 species
AUUGAACGCUGGCGGAAUGCUUUACACAUGCAAGUCGAGCGGCAGCGCGGGGCAACCUGGCGGCGAGCGGCGAACGGGUGAGUAAUGCAUCGGAACAUGUCCAUGGAUGGGGGAUAGCCCGGCGAAAGCCGGAUUAAUACCGCAUGAGCCCGAGAGGGGAAAGUGGGGGACCGCAAGGCCUCACGUCGAUGGGUUGGCCGAUGCCCGAUAGCUAGUUGGUGAGGUAAUGGCUCACCAAGGCGAUGAUCGGUAGCUGGUCUGAGAGGAUGAUCAGCCACACUGGGACUGGGACACGGCCCAGACUCCUACGGGAGGCAGCAGUGGGGAAUUUUGGACAAUGGGGGCAACCCUGAUCCAGCCAUUCCGCGUGAGUGAAGAAGGCCUUCGGGUUGUAAAGCUCUUUUGUCCGGAGCGAAACGGGGCGCGUGAACAUCGCGCUCUACUGACGGUACCGGAAGAAUAAGCACCGGCUAACUACGUGCCAGCCGCCGCCGUAA